AACUUAUGGGAUAUACUGAUUUCAGUUUUCAAUCAGAUCGUGAUGAUAGCAGAAGUGUGUCGGGCUACGUAUUUAUUUUGAAUGGAGAAGCUGUUUGCUGGAACAGUUUCAAGCAACAUACUAUGGCCGAUUCUGCAUGCGAAGCAAAACACAAUACUGCAUUGGAUGCUGCAUGUUCUGUGGUGCUAUCACCGGUGAGAG
rnacentral:lncRNA from 1 species